GAUGAACGCUGGCGGCGUGCUUAACACAUGCAAGUCGAACGAGUGGCGAACGGGUGAGUAAUACGUGGGUAACCUGCCCUCCAUUUGGGGAUAAGCCUUGGAAACGGGGUCUAAUACCGAAUAAAGGGGGAUGGGCUCGCGGCCUAUCAGCUUGUUGGUGGGGAGAUGGCUACCAAUGCGUGACGGGUAGCCGGCCUGAGAUGGUGACCGGCCACAGUGGUACGGAGAGACGGACGAGACACCUAUGGGAAGCAGCAGGGGGGGUGAUUGCACAAUGCGCGAAAGCCGUAUGCGGCGACGCCGCCUGGGGGAUGAAGGGUUUCGGGUGGUAAACUGCUUUAGACAGGGAUGCGGUACCUGUAGACUAAGCCACGGCUAACUACGUGCCAGCAGCCGCGGUAAUAC
rnacentral:rRNA from 1 species